rnacentral:rRNA from 1 species
GACGAACGCUGGCGGCGUGCUUAACACAUGCAAGUCGAGCGAGGCCCUUCCUUCGGGAGGGUGUCCUAGCGGCGAACGGGUGAGUAACACGUGGGCAACCUGCCCUCAGCUCUGGGAUAACUCCAAGAAAUUGGGGCUAAUACCGGAUAUGACUGCUGACCGCAUGGUCUGGUGGUGGAAAGAUUUAUCGGCUGGGGAUGGGCCCGCGGCCUAUCAGCUUGUUGGUGGGUAGUGGCCUACCAAGGCGACGACGGGUAGCCGGCCUGAGAGGGUGACCGGCCACACUGGGACUGAGACACGGCCCAGACUCCUACGGGAGGCAGCAGUGGGGAAUAUUGCGCAAUGGGCGGAAGCCUGACGCAGCGACGCCGCGUGGGGAUGACGGCCU